rnacentral:rRNA from 1 species
GAUGAACGCUGGCGGCGUGCCUAAUACAUGCAAGUCGAGCGAACGGACGAGAAGCUUGCUUCUCUGAUGUUAGCGGCGGACGGGUGAGUAACACGUGGAUAACCUACCUAUAAGACUGGGAUAACUUCGGGAAACCGGAGCUAAUACCGGAUAAUAUUUUGAACCGCAUGGUUCAAAAGUGAAAGACGGUCUUGCUGUCACUUAUAGAUGGAUCCGCGCUGCAUUAGCUAGUUGGUAAGGUAACGGCUUACCAAGGCAACGAUGCAUAGCCGACCUGAGAGGGCGAUCGGCCACACUGGAACUGAGACACGGUCCAGACUCCUACGGGAGGCAGCAGUAGGGAAUCUUCCGCAAUGGGCGAAAGCCUGACGGAGCAACGCCGCGUGAGUGAUGAAGGUCUUCGGAUCGUAAAACUCUGUUAUUAGGGAAGAACAUAUGUGUAAGUAACUGUGCACAUCUUGACGGUACCUAAUCAGAAAGCCACGGCUAACUACGUGCCAGCAGCCGCGGUAAUACGUAGGUGGCAAGCGUUAUCCGGAAUUAUUGGGCGUAAAGCGCGCGUAGGCGGUUUUUUAAGUCUGAUGUGAAAGCCCACGGCUCAACCGUGGAGGGUCAUUGGAAACUGGAAAACUUGAGUGCAGAAGGGGAGAGUGGAAUUCCAUGUGUAGCGGUGAAAUGCGUAGAUAUAUGGAGGAACACCGGUGGCGAAAGCGGCUCUCUGGUCUGUAACUGACGCUGAGGCUCGAAAGCGUGGGGAGCAAACAGGAUUAGAUACCCUGGUAGUCCACGCCGUAAACGAUGAGUGCUAGGUGUUAGGCCCUUUCCGGGGCUUAGUGCCGCAGCUAACGCAUUAAGCACUCCGCCUGGGGAGUACGACCGCAAGGUUGAAACUCAAAGGAAUUGACGGGGGCCCGCACAAGCGGUGGAGCAUGUGGUUUAAUUCGAAGCAACGCGAAGAACCUUACCAGGUCUUGACAUCCCUCUGACCGCUCUAGAGAUAGAGUUUUCCUUCGGGACAGAGGUGACAGGUGGUGCAUGGUUGUCGUCAGCUCGUGUCGUGAGAUGUUGGGUUAAGUCCCGCAACGAGCGCAACCCCUAUUGUUAGUUGCCAUCAUUGAGUUGGGCACUCUAGCGAGACUGCCGGUAAUAAACCGGAGGAAGGUGGGGAUGACGUCAAAUCAUCAUGCCCCUUAUGACCUGGGCUACACACGUGCUACAAUGGCUGGUACAACGAGUCGCAAGCCGGUGACGGCAAGCUAAUCUCCGAAAGCCAGUCUCAGUUCGGAUUGUAGGCUGCAACUCGCCUACAUGAAGUCGGAAUCGCUAGUAAUCGCGGAUCAGCACGCCGCGGUGAAUACGUUCCCGGGCCU